GCCGGGUGCGGUGGCGCAUACCUGUGAUCCCAGCGGCUGAGGAGGUUGAGGCAGGUGGAUCUCCAGGUCAAAGCCAGACUCAGCAAAAGUGAGACACUAAGAAACUCAGUGAGACCUGUCUCUA
rnacentral:sRNA from 1 species